rnacentral:lncRNA from 1 species
GAAGCAGAAAGCUACGUCGAGUAUCCAGGUGGUCUCUAUAACGAGCAGUAUACUUGUUUUACAUAUCAUCCCGCAGCUCGCUCCUGGAGGGGGACAUGUCAAAUAGUCCCGUCCCUUGCUUAUCGCGCUAUUUGUAUCGUUCUGCUUUUACCGCAGCUUUUUUCAUAAACAAUGCACAGCUUUUGCCUAUUAUUGCAUUCCUUUUUCUUAUCUAUAUAUGUUCACUCAUGACAUGUUGCAUCGGUACGCUUUGGUAUGGACAAAUACACCAGGGGCUUAAGUACCCCAAAAUAUGGUGUGAUAAGUCCGAACACUUUCACCAGUGCGGCACCCCGAACUUAUAGCAUUAUAUGCAUCGGCUCUGAAUCAUGUCUUGGGUCAAUAGUUGGGUUUGCCCGGCUCCCAUGUUUUGUACCUUACGUUCCGUUAUAUCGGCUAAGGUAGCGCUGGGAGAACCACUAUGAUUGUACCCCGGUUGAGCUGGGUUAAGCACCUCAGUGGAGAAAGCUAAAACUGACCGUCAUGAUAGGGCGAGAGCUGGUCGCUGUUCGAGAGGUUUUCGAGUCCCUAAAGACUUAUGCCGCUUAGAGCGAGGAGUCGGCUUUGUCCGGCCCAGGCGUGGUUAGCACCCCAAACUUGGUCUUCCGAAUACUAGGGGCUUCGCCGAAAUUUAAAAUUAUAGAAUUCUAUGGCUAAGUGAGAGUGUUCAAGCAUUAUAGUCCGGUUGCCUCGUUCGUUGCGUUGAGCGCCUCCCUCGAAGGACCCAAGAAUGGGAAAAGGAGCGCUCAAGUUUAUCCCAAACACCCCAGCACUCGUGGCAUGGGGGCAGAAGCCGACGACUCGCCAUCUCUCAAAAUUAAUAAACGGCCGCACAGAAGGUAAUAUUUUAAAUUCACAAGUGUUGCUUAGCGCAUAUGAACAAGUUUUCAGCGUACAGGAUAACAAAUGCGAGUUUACUCAAAAAUUACAUCUUUGGAGCAUUCACCCGCUAUAAGACGGGCACACUUUAGGACGCUCUCAUAAUACAUCUCGGGCUUGUGAUACUCCCUGCCCGGCGGUGGUCUGUCCGUCACAAGCUUCUCAGCGUCCAUCUUGCCCCAGUGCACUUUAGCACGGGCAAAGGCCCUACGGGCACCUUCGAUGCAGACGGAGCGCUUGACGACUUCAAUCCAUGGACAGGCGUCCACCAGCCGCCUCACCAGCCCGAAGUAGCUCCCAGGCAUGCCUUACUCAAGCCACAACCGAACUAUGAGGCCCUUCAUGGCCUGUUCGGCCACCUUAUGGAGCUCGACCAGCUGCUUCAGCUGGUCGCUCAAGGGCACCGGGUGUCCGGACUCAGCAUACUGAGACCAGAACACCUUCUCCAUCGAGCUCCCCUCCUCGGCCCGGUAGAAUGCGGCAGCGCCGGACACACUGCGGGGCAGAUCUGCGAAUGCUCCUGGAGAGCUCCGGAUUCGGGUAAGUAACAAGUAAUUCACUUUCACGUGCUUGCUUUGCAUGAAGAAUGCCUUACCCGCCGCUAUAUUCUUCAUUGCCUCAAUUUCCUGGAGGGCUUUCUGGGCUUCGGCCUUAGCGGCUUUGGCGCUCUCAAGAGCCGAGGCGAGCUCGGACUCUCGAGUCUUUGAGUCACGCUCCAAACUCUCGUGUUUUUCCACGAGAGCCUGGAGCUCUUGCCGCACGUCCGCCACCCGCACCUCCUGCUUCUCUCGCUCGGUGCGCUCUGUGGCCGCAUUGCUUUCAGCCUUGGACACCGCCUCCUUCAGGGUCGCCACCUCGUUCGUGGCCCCUGCAAUUCUCACGUUAUUCCUGUCAUUUUUUGCAACCACAUCUUUUAUAUAUUUCCAUAAGGUAUUACUUACCUUCCUUGUCCUCGAGCUGCUUUUUGGCAAGGCUGAGCUCGUUCUCGGACCGUUCGAGGCUCUGAUUCAAUGCAUUGACCUCCGCAGUCAGUGCGGAAGAGGUCAGCAGCGCAGCCUGCAUUCCCCAUAUUGACAUACUUAUGUUAGACUCCUGCGUACAUCUUUUUAGAUCCUCAGUUCGGCUUUUCUUUCUGAACACCAAACUGAGCAUCAGGGGCUACUGUCUAUGCGGUAAUAUUUUUACAUAUCUUAAAUACAUACCUCAAAGCCUGUUAGAAGGCUGGCACAGGCUUCAGUCAGCCUACUCUUGGCGGGCUGAACUUUCUGGAUCACCACACUCAUAACAGUGCGGUGCUCCUUGUUGAUGGAGGCGCUGUUAAGCGCCUCCAGCAAAUUAUCCGGUGCCUCCGGUUGGAUGGAGGUCACCGGUGUCGCAGUCUCGCCCUUCUUACGAAGGGGCCGCUUGCCGGACUCCGGAACCACUGAAGGUUCCGGUGCGGAGUCCGGCCCAGGGCCAGACUUAGAGCCCUUUGGGGUUUGAUCCCCCUUGUGCCCAGAGUCCGGGAGGUUGCCUUGCAGCGCCUCUAGGACCCCCUCCUCCUGGCUGGGCCCCUUUUGGGACCCCACCUCGGCGUCAUCCGCAGCGCGAGGAGAGGAGGCGACCGGAAGUGAAGUGCUAUUCACGUCCGACGAAGCCAGGGAGCCGCUCGUUGAAGUGUCGAGCCCGUCCUUGGGCGGGCUGCAGGGUUAUAUUCGGCGUUAGGAGAUUCUGUGCGACAAAUGAAACGCCAUGAGUUAUUCUGGUAUCAGGACACUUACGAUUUCGCUAGGGGCUUAGCCCUCGGUGGACACUCCUCUUCGCCGUCGUCGGCGUUGGUGGAGUAGUCCGGAGGAAGGGUCCUUCCCUUCUUGGACCCUCCGGCCUCCCUAGUUGGGGCGGCCUUCCUUUUCUUCUCUUCCCCCGCUGGGGGAGAGGCCUCUUUUUCCUCCUCGUCGUCUUCGUGGGAGGAGUCCGCCUCGGACUCAUCGGACGAUGAGUCCGAUAACACCUGACGUCAGGAACUCUUUUGGGUUCCCAUGGCCUUCUUCUUGGCCUUCUUCUCCGGCACCACGUGAGGUGCCGGAACCAGCAGCCCCGUCAAUCGGGCGUCCGCUGGGUCUUCUGGCAAGGGAGCCGGACAGUCAACCUGCCCGAACGUCUUUUGCCAGGCCUGUCAAAGGUAGGGGAGUUUAGAUCCCGCAUAGAGUUAAACUAUGGAAAACAAGUGUCCUGUAAAGGGUAAAAUAGCUUACCUCGCCGGCUUGACGCGGCGAGCUGAAUCUGCGAUCUUCGGUAGCGGAUGCGGGAGCCACGGCGCCCUUGAACAGCACCUUCCAGGCAUCUUCGUACAUAGUGUCGAAGAGCCUGCUCAAGGUUUGGUGCUGUGCCGGAUCAAACUCCCACAAGCUAAAGGCCCGUUGUUGGCACGGGAGGAUCCGGUGGAUGAGCAUGACCUGGACUAUGUUGACGAGCUUGAGCUUCUUGUUCACCAAGGUUUUGAUGCAGGAUUGGAGUCCGGUCAGCUCUUCCGAAUUACCCCAUGUUAGGCCCGUCUCUUUCCAAGAGGUGAGCCGUGUAGGGAAGCCAGAUCGGAAUUUGGGGGCCGCUACCCAUUUAGGGUCACGCGGCUCGGUGAUGUAGAACCACCCCGAUUGCCACCCCUUUAUGGUCUCCACGAAGGAGCCCUCGAGCCAUAAGACGUUAGGCAUCUUUCCCACCAUGGCACCUCCGCACUCCGCCUGGCGGCCGCCCACUAACUUCGGCUUGACAUUGAAGGUCUUCAGCCAUAAGCCGAAGUGGGGCUGGCUGUAGAGGAAGGCCUCGCACACGACGAUGAACGCCGAGAUGUUAAGGAUGAAAUUCGGGGCCAGAUCAUGGAAAUCCAGGACGUAGUAGAACAUGAGCCCCCGGACAAAUGGUUGAAGUGGAAAACCUAGUCCGCGGAGGAAGUGGGUGAGGAACACCACCCUCUCAUGGGGCCUGGGGGUGGGGAUAAGCUGCCCCUUGUCGGGGAGCUGAUGUGCGAUGUCGCUGGACAAGUAUCCGACCUUUCGCAGCUUUUUGAUGUGCCCCUCCGUGACGGACGAGACCAUCCACUUGCCUCCCCCUCCGGACAUGGCUGGGGAAGGUUGAGGCGAGAUGUGCGGACUUGGGCGCUGGAGCUUGAGUGCGCGGAAAUGGAUGUGUGAAGGAGGAAGAAGGCAUGUGUGAAAAGGUGGAUCCUUUUCCCCUUAUAUGGACAGACGAAGCUAUGCGUCCCCACCAGCCUGGUAAAACUCGCUUAUCUCCCAAGCGCUGUAAUCAAUGGCGCGGUUGGGUUACCCACGCUCGUAUUGAUGAGAAUCCCGGAAUAAGGGGACACGAUCUCUGCUUUGACAAGACGUGCCAAGGAAACCGCCUUGCUAAACGUGCUGAGGAGGGACAGUAAAAACGAUUCGAAUAAAGUCUUGGCCGUGGUGUGAUGUCAUGCCAUGGAAUACGUCAGCAGAUUGAAUUUGUGUAAAUCUUAUUCUCUCUAUGGUGGUAUGUGGAACUUAUUUUGCAGAGCCGGACACUAUCCUUGUGUUCAAAAUCUUCUAUGAAGUAUUCGGAGGAGGAACCCGCCUUGCAAUGCCGAAGACAAUAUGCGCGUCAGACUCGUCGUCAUUGAAGCCUGGUUUAGGGGCUACUGAGGGAGUCCUGGAUUAGGGGGUGUCCAGAUGGCCGGACUAUAGCCUUUGGCCGGACUCCUGGACUAUGAAGAUACAAGAUUGAAGACUUCGUCCUGUGUCCGAAUGGGACUUUCCUUGGCAUGGAAGGCAAGCUUGGCAAUACGGAUAUGUAGAUCUCCUACCAUUGUAACCGACUCUGUGUAACCCUAACCCUCUUCGGUGCCUAUAUAAACCGGAGGGUUUUAGUCCGUAGGACGAACAACAAUCAUACCAUAGGCUAGCUUCUAGGGUUUAGCCUCUCUGAUCUCGUGGUAGAUCUACUCUUGUACUACCCAUAUCAUCAAUAUCAAUCAAGCAGGAGUAGGGUUUUACCUCCAUCGAGAGGGCCCGAACCUGGGUAAAAACAUCGUGUCCCUUAUCUCCUGUUACCAUCCGCCUAGACGCAUAGUUCGGGACCCUACCCGAGAUCCGCCGGUUUUGACACCGACAGCGCCCGUGCGGGAUGGCCUCCGUCCCCAAGCUCGCUGCCGUAGUGUGUGCGGAGGACGACGACCACGAGCGAAGCCACUUCCCGCUGACCCUCAGGUAUGCUACCUCUUUUCGAACCAUACCCUUGUUCUAUUGCCCCAUCUGGCACGUCGUUGCAUGUGGAUAUUUUGCCACUCCACCAUCUUCCCAAUUUGCUAUCCUCUGCUUUGCUGGCCACGCAGACGAAAACCAUAAUUUGCACUAUUAAAGGAAACCCUACUUCAUGCAGACUAAUCCAUGUCUGGGUUGAAUAUGGAAAGGAAGGGAGACUGUACUAUCCAAGAGAGCAUCGAACCCGCAUCUAGGUUGAAAAGGGGAAAAUCAGUAGCUAAGGAACAAGUCUCGUGUCUCUUGGUUGAAGAAGGGUAGAAAGGCAUGACAACGCAAUAGAGAAUGACCAGGUCGAUCGGUUUGUUGUCCUCACAUAGGAAAAAGGUGGCUAAAGAGAAAAAAAAUGGGAUGUAAUCCACAUAUGCUGCCUGGAUAUUUGUUGCUCUGGGCAACCAUACCUCCCUCACCACUCUGCGUCCGUGGAGGUACAUCGUACUGGUGCACCCAUUGUCCGAAUGGGCCUUCCAUGCUCUUAUUGCCACUUUUUUUGUUGUUAGUAUAACGCCAGCAGUCAAGUCAACCAAUGUUACUGCUAAAGUGAUGCCACAUUUAACUAAUGCCGCUCUCAGUCUAAUGCCACCUAUAAAUUUAAGCAAUGCCAUUUAAUGUCACUGGAUUAUUUCAGGGUUAGCUAUUGAUUGUGGAUGUAUUAAACAUUUUUCAGCUAAGGCAUUCUAAUGCUGUUGCACAACCAGUAUACCAACGAUGAAACUUGUUACUACCUUCAAAUUUUUGCACUGUUAAUGCUUAUAGAUUACAUACCUCACUUUCAUGAGAUAAGUUAAUUUUUUUGUACAGUGUCACCAAAAUGCCAAGGCGCUGAUGUCAUUUUAUUUUGGUUAAACUGCACAGACAAUUAUGAAGACAAGAGGAAAGGUCAAGAGUGGGCACCUCCUCCUCUGGCUGUUCUCUUGAUUCAUUCGAUCAAGUUUUUAUGUUUGAUCGAUUAUCAAGAUUGAGAUAGCAAUUUUUAAGGUCCCUCGAGUUCGAAAUGAUAUUUACCUUGGAGGUACAUGGUUUGCAAAAAAAAUUGUACUAUCAUUAGUUAAUGAUGCUAGUUACCUUCAGACUUCUGUAUUUGGUUUAAUGCUCAUGCACAGCUAGUAUACCAAUGCUGAAACUUGUUACCUUUACAUUUUAUAUUGUUAAUUCUUAUAGAAACCUUCUAGUGCUAGAGUUUAUUGAAAUAUGUUCAGUAAAACCAUUGUACUGUACCCUGUAAUAAACUAACUACUCUACUGUUGCACUAGCCACUGGAUUAGUGUAUAUUUGUAGUAUUAGAAUGGUGUUGCAUUAGCGUAUGGACAUAAAUAAAGUGUAGCAAGCUUUCCCAGAUAUGUGCUCAAGAAAACUACUACCUGUUUUUCUAAAUACUAGACGUUUGGGUACUUUAAAUUGAACCGCGAAAACGUCUUAUAUUAAGGAACAGAGGGUGUAGAGUUCACUCAAAUUAUCCCGGUAAAGCUAGUCACACCUUUGUUAAAAUUAAUGUUCAUUAUGUUAUCGGAGGAGGUCUGUAUGUUUGUCUCUAAUGCCUGUCGACUACAUACCCGACAUCAUGAUGUAAUGUUAAGUCAUUUCCUUUUGUACAGUGUCACUGAAUUGUCAAGGCGGUGAUGGCAUUUUAUUUUAGUAGAACUGCACAAAAUUUGCUUAAAAGAAGAGGAAAGGUCAGGAAUGGCUCAGUUUUUUAGAAAAAACUAUGUAUGCCUUCCUGACAUCAGCCGAUGUUGCUUUAUUUAUUCCUUCAAACAGGUGGUUAGAAAUAGUCUUGCUACCUUUUCCCAUUAAGAAAUUGGAAUGCUUAUAUUUGUGAGUCUAUGCUUCAACUAGUGCCACUUUUAUAGUAAUCACACUUUCAAUAUCUAUGCAAACAGGGAUGCUUGAUUUUAGUGGAACUGCACAAAAAGUCCAACUGGUUCAACAUUAGGAGCAUGUUUUUUUCCGAACCUUUAUAUCCAAUUGGUGGCACUAUGAGCUGUUCAUUACGAAGGUACAUGGUUUGCUACUAUGUUGCUAUUUUUUUGUACUGUCAUUAGAUAGUAAUACUAGUGGUUUGCAUGUGAAUUUAUUGGCAGGGUGGACCUACAUUGGAGGUGCAGGACAUGAUUCAAUGAUUGGAUGCUCAAUUUCGGUUGUAUCGAUUUCACCUCUUCCAUCACUGCAAACAUGGUGUGGUAUAUGUUUACUAGCUGCUUGAUAUUUGUGCAGACAGAGAUGUCUGCCCAUUGCUAUUUGGCAAACAAACAAAGUGUCCGCAAUUUUGGUUGAACUGCACAAGAGAAUAGUAUAGUCACUGCAUGCAGUGCCAUUUGAAAAUAGACACAAAGAUUGGAUAGUCACUUCAUGGACUGCAGAAAAGUAGUACUGUACUAUUUACUGGCCAACACUAGGUGCUUCAUUGCUUUGGUCUGAUUAUACAAGGGCAUCAUUUUCCCUAAGUUAAAGUUUGUAUUCCGAAAAUAGUCUCAUGGUGUGAUCGAGAGAAGACCAAAUCAUAUUGAAGUGGAUGUUCCUCCAUCAUGUGUGGUUCAUUCUCAUGGUUCCAACUGUUGGUGAAACCACUUACGUUUGCAAGAGGAAUUGUAGACUUCACAAACAAAUUUGUCUUUCAGUCUGUACUGAAUGUUGGCCAAGAGAAGCAUCCAUGUUAGUAGGAAGAACAGCUGUUUUUUCUAGAUCUUUGCUUUUGGAGCUACAUAUUUGUAUAUGAUGUUUGAAUCAUUGAGAUGCAUUAACAUGUUGAUCUUAUGUAUGGGAAUCGUACUAGUUAGUUUUAGUUGCGACGCAAGAUCUGAAGUGGUUGAUAUUUGCUUUUGGAGCUACAUAUUUGUAUAUGAUCUGUGAAUCAUUGAGAUGCAUUAACAGUUACUUAUUUCUGUUCGCUCAGUGUUUACAAGUUACUGAUUGAUCACUAGCUAGCCUACAAAUGUGCUCCUGGUAGUUUUAUUUGCGAUGCAAGAUGCGAAGUGGCAGUUUUUUGAAUAAAAAUGCCUACCUCUGAAGAAGCUGACAAGCUACACUAUCGAUCCUACAUGGAUAAAAAUGCCUACCUCUGAAGAAACUUACAAGCUACACUAUCGAUCCUACAUGGAUAAAUAGCGGAUCACGCACGUACUACCUCCUUUUCGGUUUGUAGGGCUCAAUUCAAGAAACGACCUACUCGAUCCUACACUAAUAAAUAGCGGAGCACGCACGUACUAGUACCGCCUUUCCUUUUUUUGCGAGGUAAUACGUUUCUCAUUCAUAAAAUAAAGAUCCGGUUACAAGACAUGUAAUCACCGACAUUACAGUAUUGAAAGGAUAGGAUAAUCCUACACAAAAAACCGACAUUACUAGUACCUCCUUUCCAGUUUGCAGGGCUUAAUUCAAACCUCUCACCAACCAAGGUACUCCCUCCGUCCAGGUUUGUUAGUCCCAUGAGAAAAGCAGCAAGACCAAGGCAUGGCAAUAAUUAACGGCAUGCAGAAGUUUAAGCCUAAUUAAUUCCAGUGAUUUAAGUGGCUGCAUGUGUGCCCUCGGCUGCGACUCGUUGCAUGCUGCUUCGUGUACUGCCUGCGAGUGAUUCUGAGUGCCUGCAUGUAGUCAACCGUAAUUAAGGCAGCUAACUAAUGCGAAAAAAGAUACGCUUUAAUUGUUGCGGGCUUUUUAAAUCCAUGGAAUCAUUAUUGACAAGGAGGGAGAUGAUUCGAGUGCACUCAUUUGACCGCCAUGCCAGCGUGCGACCCAGACGGGACGGGACGGCACAAUCAUAAUUUCAAUUUCCCUAGUUUUCCAUAGCAAGCUGGCACGCUAAGCCAUUAUGCAUUGAAUUCUGAUGACCGUCGCGCUACCUUCCCCCUAUAAGUACUGUUUCCCGGCCUUCUCCGGUGCCACCGUGACCCAACUCGCCAUAUCCUCAUAAGCCCCCACCGGCCCGACGUCGCUCGCCACGUCCGCCAUGCCCCCGCCCUUCUGCAGUAGGCGACGCCGGAGGCGGUCACCGCCGGAACUAGUGUUUGGUUUUUCACCGAAAGGCAGAUGGAGGGAGGAGGCAUUCUAUCUGUCUUUAGAUGGCAAUGCGCAGAUCGAGGAGUUGUUGGAGCGCGACCGCAUGGCGGAGGAGCAGGAGUUGUUCGAGCGAGACCGCCUGGCGGAGGAGUAGCGCAUCGCCGAUUGGCGCCGCCAGCGGGACAUGGAGCAUGUAGGACCUUGAAGUAUGUCUAGACGGGGGGUGAUUAUACUACUUGACCAAUUAAAAACUUAACCUUUUCCCAAUUUUAGAGUUUGGCAGAUUUUAGCUAUCUUAGGACAAGUCAAGCAAUCAUCACACAAUUCAAGCAAGCAUGCAAAGAGUAUAUAGGCAGCGGAAAUUAAAGCAUGCAACUUGCAAGAAAGUAAAGGGAAGGGUUUGGAGGAUUCAAACGCAAUUGGAGACACGGAUAUUUUUGGCGUGGUUCCGAUAGGUGGUGCUAUCGUACAUCCACGUUGAUGGAGACUUCAACCCACGAAGGGUAACGGUUGCGCGAGUCCACGGAGGGCUCCACCCACGAAGGGUCCAUGAAGAAGCAACCUUGUCUAUCCCACCAUGGCCGUCGCCCACGAAGGACUUGCCUCACUAGCGGUAGAUCUUCACGAAGUAGGCGAUCUCCUUGCCCUUACAAACUCCUUGGUUCAACUCCACAAUCUUGUCGGAGGCUCCCAAGUGACACCUAGCCAAUCUAGGAGACACCACUCUCCAAGAAGUAACAAAUGGUGCGUUGAUGAUGAACUCCUUGCUCUUGUGCUUCAAAUGAUAGUCUCCCCAACACUCAACUCUCUCUCAUAGGAUUUGGAUCUGGUGGAAAGAAGAUUUGAGUGGAAAGCAACUUGGGGAAGGCUAGAGAUCAAGAUUCAUAUGGUAGGAAUGGAAUAUCUUGGCCUCAACACAUGAGUAGGUGGUUCUCUCUCAGAAAUGGUAAGUUGGAAGUGUAGGUUUGUUUUGAUGGCUCUCUCCACGAAUGAAGAGGAGGUGGAGGGGUACAUAUAGCCUCCACACAAAAACUAACCAUUACACACAAUUUACCAAAUUCGGUGCGACCAAUUCAACAGACUCGGUCGGACCGAUUUAGUAAACCUAGUGACCGUUAGGAUUUUCGGUGGGACUGACAUGCAACUCGGUAAGACCGAUUCGGUUAGGGUUAGGGAAUAACGUAAUCUCGAUAAGACCAAUUACACAAACUCGAUGAGACCGAUUUUGGUAAUAAGCUUUCUAGAGAGUUGGUCAGGUAAACUCGGUGGGACCGAUUUGCUCUUUUAGGUGAGACCGAAAUGUUACAAAAAGGAAACAGAGAGUUUACGUUGCAAUCUCGAUGGGACCGAUCGCUCACUUCGGUUAGACCAAAACGUUACGAAGGGAAACAAAGAGAUUACAAUCCCAUCUCGGUGAGACCGAGAUCCCUAUCGGUAGGACCGAUUUGCCUAGGGUUUGUGGCAGUGGCUAUGACAUAAGAACUUGGUGGCACCAGAUAGAAAGAAUCGGUGUGACCGAUUUUGGCUUUAGGUUUAGGUCAUUUGUGGAUGUGAGAAAGUAGCUGAGGGUUUUUGGAGCAUAUCACCAAGCACAUGAAGCAAGAGGCUCAUUAAGCAACACCUCAUCCCUCCUUGAUAGUAUUGGCUUUUCCUAUGGACUCAAUGUGAUAUUGGAUCACUAAAAUAUAAAAUGAAGAGUCUUGAGCUUUUGAGCUUGAGCCAAUCCUUUGUCAUUAGUAUUUUGAGGGAUCCACUUUCAUCAUCCAUGCCAUGCCAUUCAUUGAGCCACUACAAGAAAUAUGUCAACUUAUGACCUUCUGUCAGUGACCCUGGAAGAAUUGGUCAUAGAUUUAUGACCAUUUGAGACCAAUUGGUCAAAAGCUGUUCGAGGGGCUCCAAACCCUAAACCAUUGCGACCAUUUUGGUCAGAAAGGUCAUAAUUUCCUUACACGAAAUGGUCAUAAAGCAAACAGCGCUAGUCCGUUGCCUUAUUUCUAGUUGUUAACGACCAAUAUAGAUGGUCAUAGCCUUGUAAAUUGUGGUGGGUUGCUAUGACUAGGCGCCACCUCAUCAGUUUUGCCUAUGUGUCAUGUCCAUGUGGCAGUUUUGCCCUAGGUUGUGAAGCAACCUAUAUUUCUGUAAUUCCCAAAAUUCCCCAAAAAAUCUCAUAAAUUCUUUGGGUCAUAUCUUUGUCAAAUAUGUAAAAACCUUCCUUGCCUAGUUCAAAAAUAAUUCAAAAAUAUUCAUUUUCCUAUUCUGUUCAAAACAAUGGUUUGUGAAGGAAGUACCACUUUGGCAUCUCCAAAUAGUAUCCAUUUUCUGCACUGCUUUCCUAUGCCCAAAUAACCAUCCUCCACCAAAUGACAGCUCAAUCCAUUCAUUAUUUUGAGUUGAGCUUCAACAUUCGUAUUUAUGUCCAGUGUGGUAGCUUGCAAAGCAAGUACCACCUAGGCUCCUCCUUUUGAUCUGAAAACUUGUGAAGACGGUCUUCUUAGUAACUGAUCAUCCUCAGCCAAAACUCACGCCCAUUAGCCAUGUACAUUUCCCGUACCGCUAAUCAAACACUUGGCUGCUAAUUCAUGUUUGAGCAUCGAUCGGUCUCCUCGUGAGAAUCUUAUGUUGUAAUUUUCUUCCUAGCACCUACCUGGGGAGUGCCCAACCCACUAGACAUGCCUAGACCGCCCAGAACACAUGGCAACGCCACGGUCACGCGGUGACCAUGCGGCGGGCAUGCGAGUUUACACACUCUAGAGUUGGGGGCCUCGGCCACCGCCCAAACCUCGACGUAUCGCGACCAUACCAUGUAUUUAUUAUUAAAUAGGUACUUAUGUAACUAGAAAUGAUUUUUGGAUAAAAUAAAUAGCAAACUAUGAGGCAGCUGCAGUUCAAAUUUGACCCGCUUCCAGCUGAAUCGGCGAAAAAUUUGUCUUUUUCACGAGAGGUGGAUCAAAACUUUUUACACCCAACCAUUUUGUCAAUUGUGCAUUAAAUAUGUCCUAGUAUUUUAUAAAAAUGAUUUGGUCCAAUUUUGCAACCAUUAUUUUGGAGGUCCUUCACAAAAAAAACCUCCUUUUGGGCACUCGAAAAAUGGAAAAUGGUUUUUUCGUUCAAAGAAAAUAAAAACUUCCUUAGGCAACAUUGUUUGCCAUUCCAAUAUGCACCCUUGUGCACAAUAUGAGAUCAUUUGAACAAACUAUGCCAUGAAUGUGGCCAUAAGAUUGAUCAUUUGGCUUGAAAGCCAUGAAUCUUCACACUUGAUAGCUCAUUUCUGAGAACACUUUUUUAAAAUAAUUACCGUAUUACAAUUUUAUUAUUUUUCCUGGAAACUUGGUCACAUAUAAUGACACAAUGCGAAGGUUUUCCAAUUUUUUGAUUUUUUUGAAUUUUUUAUGCCCGUUUCAAAAUGCGGUCAAAACGGCGGGCUUGACCGUUCCAUGCUAGUGGUUGAAUCUUGGAAAACUUUUGAUGUUUCUCUGAUUAAAUAGAUACUUAUGUACCUAGAAAUGAUUUUUGGAAAAAAUAAAUAGCAAACUAUGAGGCAGCUGUAGUUCAAAUUUGACCCGCUUCCAGCUGAAUCGACGACAAUUUGUCUUUUUCACCAGAGGUGGAUCAAAACUUUUUUCACCCAACCAUUUUGUCAAUAGUGCAUUAAAUAUGUCCUAGUAUUUUAUAAAAUUGAUUUGGUCCAUUUUUGCAACAAUUAUUUGGUAGUUCCUUCACAAAAAAACCUCCUUUUGGGCACUCGGAAAAUGAAAAAUGAAAUAUCCGUGCAAAGAAAAUGAAAACUUCCUUAGGCAACAUUGUUUGGAAUUCCAAGAUGUACCCUUGUGCACAAUAUGAGAUCAUUUGAACAAACUAUGCCAUGAAUGUGGCCUGAUCAUUUGGCUUGAAAGCCAUGAAUCUUCACGCAUGAUAGCUCAUUUCUGAGAACACUUUUUUAAAAUAAUUUCCGUAUUACAAGUUUAUUAUUUUUCCUGGAAACUUGGUCACAUAUAAUGACACAAUGCGAAGGUUUCCCAAUUUUUUGAUUUUUUUGAAUUUUUUAUGCCCGUUUCAAAAUGCGGUCAAAACGGCGGGAAUGACCGUUCCUAGCUAGUGGUUGAAUCUUGGAAUUUUUUUUGGUGUUUCUCUGAUUAAAUAGAUACUUAUGUACCUAGAAAUCAUUUUUGGAAAAAAUAAAUAGCAAACUAUGAGGCAGCUUUAGUUCAAAUUUGACCCGUUUCCAACUGAAUCGGCGGAAAUUUGUCUUUUUCACGAGAGGUGGAUCAAAACUUUUUGCACCCAAACAUUUUGUCAAUUAUGCAUUAAAUAUGUCCUAUUAUUUUAGAAAAUUGAUUUGGUCCAAUUUUGCAACAAUUAUUCGGUAGUUCCUUCACAAAAAAACCUCCUUUUGGGCACUCGGAAAAUGAAAAAUGGUUUUUUCGUGCAAAGAAAGUGAAAACUCCCUUAGGCAACAUUGUUUGGAAUUCCAAUAUGCACCCUUGUGCACAAUAUGAGAUCAUUUGAACAAACUAUGCCAUGAAUGUGGCCAUAAGAUUGAUCAUUUGGCUUGAAAGCCAUGAAUCUUCACGCAUGAUAGCUCAUUUCUGAGAACACUUUUUUAAAAUAAUUUCCGUAUUACAAGUUUAUUAUUUUUCCUGGAAACUUGGUCAUAUAUAAUGACACAAUGCGAAGGUUUUCCAAUUUUUUGAUUUUUUUUGAAUUUUUUAUGCCCGUUUCAAAAUGCGGUCAAAACGGCGGGCUUGACCGUUCCUAGCUAGUGGUUGAAUCUUGGAAUUUUUUUGGUGUUUCUAUGAUUAAAUAGAUACUUAUUUACCUAGAAAUGAUUUUUGAAAAAAAAUAAAGAGCAAACUACAAGGUAGCUACAGUUCAAAUUUGACCCGCUUCCAACUGAAUCGGCAGAUAUUUGUCUUUUUCACGAGAGGUGGAUAAAAGCUUUGGACACUCAACUAUUUGGCAGUUGUGCAUUAUAUAUGGCCUAUUAUUUUAGAAAAUUGAUUUGGUAAAAUUUUACAACAAAUAUAUAGUAUGUCCUUCACAAAAAACUCAUUUUGGACACUUUAAAAAUGGAAAAUUAUUUUAAAAAACUAAUUUCUCCUAACUCUUUUAAAAGAUAUUUGUCUUAUUUCGAUUUGUCAUUAUUCCUGAAAACUAAGGUCAAAUUUGAUGAAACAUGAGAAGGUAUUUUAUUUUUAUUUUUAUUUUUCAGAUCAUAAAAUAGCCAAUAUGAUUUAGCACCUUACUUUUAGUCGAUUACGACCAAUUUAGAUGGUCAAAAAAUGUAGUACUGAUAUACUGCGUUCUGAUUGGUCCAGGAGCAUCUCACGCGGAUCGUGCCUAAUCACCGUCGGAUGCUCCUGAUCCAACGGCCCGCCUGUCUCACCCACGUCGCCCAACCCACAACCCGCACUCCCUCCCACGCACCCAACCGCACCCAACCCCUCGUGCCCUCCUCUCUCUCUCGAACCCUAGCGCUCCACUCCUCCCUGGCCGCCGCCACCUCCGGCGCCCUCUGUCCGGCGAGAUCCAUAUGGAUCGAUCCCCUCCAAUCCGCCACCACCUCUGGCACCCUCUGUCCGGCGAGAUCCAUAUGGAUAGAUCCCCUCCAACCCUCCAACCCACGACUCCUCCUCCUCUCCUCCUCUCUGGAUCUCUGGAUCGACCCAACCGCCAGCCCCAAUUUGUUCGUUCAGUUAAUCGGCUCGGCUCCAUCGGCAUGCCAAAUCUCCACGACCAGCCGCCUGUCCCUCCCGUAGCCGACAUGCCUAGGAAGGAGCGCGACGCCGAGGGCAGCCGGAGCUCGUCGCGGUGGCGGCGGCGGUGGUCGCCGUCCGACUCGGACUCCGACUCCAACUCCGGUGGCUCGCCCCGCCGGGGCCAGAGCCGCCACCGCCGCAGGAGCCACCGCAAGGCCGCCCCGUCCUCCUCCUCCUCCGCCUCCUCCAGCGGCACGAGCGAUUCGCAGGCGUCCAGCUCCGGCUCCGACUCCGGGGACCGCCGAAGGAGGCAGAGCGGGAGCGCCAAGCGCGGGGGCGUCACCGAGGAGCAGAUCCUGGAGUACAUGUCCAAGAAGGCGCAGAAGAAGGUGGGGGUUUCCGCUCGGCUGCCUUCCUGCCCCGCGCCUAGGGUUUCCGUUGCUAACUUGUUUGUCGAUGGUGCUACUUCUGCAGGCCGAGAAGGUGGCCAAGAAGAUGAAGGCCAACGCGGUGUCGGGCUACUCCAACGAUUCCAACCCUUUUGGCGAUCCCAACCUCACAGAGAAGUAUGCGCAUUCGGCCCCUCCUCCGAUAACAUUACACAUUGCAUUGGUGAUGCUUGCUUUACCAGUAGAAACUUGGGUUGGCACAUGUUUGCUUAUAUGCUCCUAACUUUGUUGUUACAACCGAUAACAUUACACAUUUCUGCUCCUAACUUUGCUGUUACAAACGUUGUACUUCUUCAUUUGUUUGCCGGUUGUCCUAAUUAUGUACAGUUUGUGGUCCACUUUCAGAGCAAUCUAUAGUGUUGCAAACUGAAUUACUACUGCUUUGUCUUAUGGAUACAAAUCUGAAAAGAAUUUUAUGCGAGCACAGAUAAACCAUCCACCUUUGAUGAUUUCUACAGUGGGAAUGAGGCCUUGCUUAUUUGUAAAUAGCCUUGGAAGUCGAUUAGUAGCCUAAGUAUCUUGUGUGUUUGCUUAUAUGCUUUAUGGCAUAUUUCCUGUACCAACAAUAUAAUAUAAAUGUGUGAGUAUACCUUCUGUUGUCAAAGCAGAGAGUAGUUCCUUGUAAUUUCAGUUUAUCUUCUGGAGUGUCAUUUCAGUUAAUCUUCUGUUGAUGCUACUUACUAUGUGCUCACAUGUUCAUGCUGGAAAGAUAAUAAUGUUGUUAGAUUGCUUACUGUUCUUUCAUUUCUACAUACGGCUUACUCUGUUUCCCCGCACUCUGCAUAUGCCCUGUUCCGAGGGAGUGCUUUUGUUUCAUGCGCGAUAAACUGGCCAUUGCUAACUUAUCUUUGGCGUCUUGUAUGGAGCAGUAGCUGACAGCGACUGACUGUGUGGAGCAACAGUUUGUCUUGCUUCUGUCCUGCUAUGGAUGAAUGCUUCUUGAAUGCAUCUUGUCUUUGUUUCAUUUUGUAGUACAGUAGAAUGGAUGCAUAUGCUCUGUACGUGUUCAUCUCUUCAAAUUUGUGCAACAGCAGUUUGGAGCUUCCAUUCUGCUAUGGUGUCUUUGCUUAAUUUGUACUACUAUUAGAAUGCAGACAUUGCUUUGGUCCCAAAUAAUCUGUUGCUUACUUCGGAUAAGUUGACAUGUUGUGCAUAUAAUCUGUGUGAAGUUGUGAACAAUAAUAGAUACAGAGCUGGCCUCUUUGUUUUUCACGGAGAGCCUGCUGCAGCUUUUCUGUUGCCAUUGACUGAAAUUGUCGGCCUCCCAAUUCUUAUCCAACUUGUUACUGCUCCUGGCAAACUGAAUUGCUGGCCUCCCCUUGCUUGCUUCAUCUCUCGCGGUUCUGUUAGAUGCUCUACUUCUUAGUAGUGGGUGGGGGUCUUGUUGCUUGUCUCUGUCUGGAUCCGGCAUGUGCCAGCCUCAUGAUGCCAACAUGUUUGUUGUAAAAACCUUAUCAAUGUUGAAUCGUUCAAACAUUAAUAUGCUUGCUAGACUAACCAAUCUUAUGGCUCAACUAAUUGAUGGCAGCCAAAUUCCGCUAGUCUUGCCUUCAUCUCCGAGGCAGGCAGGCGCAUCGUACGAUGCACUAGCCUCUCCGACGCCUUUCCUUUUAUUUAGAACGAUGCUUCAUCCCAUCCGGCUGUUACGACAACGUUAGGCCAACAUGCUCAUGUUUCAGUUUACCCACUCCUAGCUAGCAAAGCAGAUGUCUUGUUUCCUUCCUCUUUGAUUUGUUUGAGUACUAUCUGCACAUUAGUUUUUUCGUUGAUUAGUUGGUAUUUUCUGCUCAUCUAUGUUUGACAUAUAUUUGUUCUAUUUGAAGGUGCAGAUUGUAUAAGAUGGGAAAUGGACAACUCCAACCAUUCCAAACCAGUUCAAGGGGACAUGGAAACAAAAGGUACACCAUGAACUAUCUCAUGGCAAUAUGACUAGGUAGUCUAUUUGCUUAGACAAGCAGCAAUGUGUAUUACAAGUUCUGAGCUAAGAUUUCUGUGUAUUCAGAAUAUCAAGAACCUGAACAACAAGGGCAAAGUGGAAGGCACCUCUGGUCGACAACCCAGGUAACCUGAGCUUACGCACUGCUAUACUUUCUUUUGAACUUAUUCUUUGAAAAUUCAAAGCUUAUGCAGUUUUGCUACAAGUACCAUAAUUUGCAUUGAAGAUAUUGUAUUCUGUUGUUGUAUCAUUGUUUAAUGAAACCAUAGCAUGAUGCUCACAUGAGAUAUACACAUGUUUUUGUGCUGUUUGAUUCAAGCUUACUCCCGUUAUAAUGUAUUCUAUUGCUGUUUUGCUACAAGCUGUGUGUUGAUUUGAUAACAGGAGUUUCCUUGUCCUGGUCCUAUACUACAUUUUGACUCCUAUGUUUCUGUGCGCGUGUUUUUAAUUGAUGUUGUUUCGACUUUGAACUGCUUCUGCAUAUGGCCUAUACUGCAAUUGAGAUUUAAAUUUGUGGUUGUUCCUCUUUUACAGAUGCUCAAGUGUGAAGUGUGAAGCAAGUGUGAAGCCGUGAAGUGUGAAGCCGUCAAGUUCUACUUAGUAAAGAGUAGCAUAUUGUAGCAUAUAUGUGUUGUAAAGAUUGUAAUAGAUUUAUUUAGUGGUAUAUUUGAUGAAAUUUAUGUGUUCUUUUUGAUUAUGUAUGUGAUCUGAAAAGUUGUGAAAUGGAAACUUGACCAAUGGGUCCACUUAUGAAAAUAAUCUGUCAAAUUUGUACAUUUCUGACAUGUGGGACCAAUUUGAGAGAUGAUCAUGACAAGUGGGACCCAUUUGACUAGUGGGACCAGCUUGAAUAUAUAAUGGCUGAAAAUAGAAA